AGUUUCUAGUCAGUGCGAUUGAUUUCGAUGGUCCCGCGAUACUUCCUGACGUCAUCGAGGCGUUUGUUUAAUGAGCGGCUACCAGGUCUCUCCCCACGAGUCGUCCCUACUCAAGCAGAAAUCGCGACCAGAGGGAGACAGAGCUAGCCGAGUUCGUGGAGGGGGCGUAGGGAGAGUGAGAAAGAAAGAGAGGAAGGGGAGAGAGGUAGUAUCGUGUCGGACGCUGGACGAGGCGCACGUUCGAUGCGAAGCAGUGUGUGCUUUCACGCACGGAAACCAAGAAACGGUGUGUACCAGGACCACGGUGUUACUCCUGGAUGUGAUCCAUGCCGUCCUGCUGGCGAGCCUCGCCGACAGGACUGGUCACGAGCCUGUGUCCCGGAGCGUCCUCGCGAACACGUCCGAAAAGUAGUCACAGACCGUACGUCGUCGAGCACGCGGCACACGUGAGCGGAACGAAGACGAACCGCUACCGAGCACGGCCGAACGCCAACGAGCUGCGACGAUCGUCUCGACGAGGUAUCCUGGCUCACCGCUGAUUGGCCGAAACUUCGAGGAAGUGGUCACCGUCGAUGAGAGCUCGAACCACACCGCCACGUGAGUUUAGCGCCGUAUCGCGAAUCAGGAUAUCGCGCCUCUUUUCAUCGUAUUCUGGAGCACCGGACCCUCCAGCUUUAGCGCGCCAAGCCUAAUCUGGAUACAUGACACUCCGGCUACGUGUUCGGCGAUCACUUCCGGGAAAUCUGGUUCGGCAGAAAGAUGGACCAUGAAUUUGCAUAUCUUAUGAAAGUCGAACAGAUUUGACCGACGGCGUCAUCUGUGUCGAUUAAAUCUCUGCAAGUAGCUUACGAACUGAGUGACGAGUAACCUCAACGAGCUAAUCGUCAAAUAUUAGAAUAUUCUGUUCGUUUCGCCACUGUUCCCUCGAAACUAGAACGGUAGAAUUUGCUUGACCCUGGAUUGAAGAAGGAGUAUCGAUCUACGUCAUCAUGUCAUCACGUAGCGAUCCUGAUCUAGGCCAACGUCUUUACCCCAUAUGACGUUGCGUCUUUCAGCCGGUGUCUUCUGGACGGUUGUUUCCCUUCUAAAUAUAAAACUAUAGACGUCGAACUUUAACCAUAAAAAUGGCCAAGUUUCGGAGCGAGCAAGAGCUAGGAUCGCGAAAGCCUCGAAUUCGGUUUUCUGCCAAGUUGAACACGAUUGUUCAUUGAACGCUUCGAAUUCGAUGUCGCGAAUCUGUCACGUGACUCUUUAUUAACGACAGAGAAAGUGUCUUUCAGUGUUUUGAUUGCAAGUGAAUAGUGAACGUUUGUCAGGGAAACUAUUUUCCCCUAUCGUUGAUCAUUAGAUCGUGUUGUCUACGGAAGUAGCGUAUCUAUAAUUUUAAAGUGUUGGCAUCACCCCCUUUCUUUAAAUUCGAAACCAAGGGAAUACGGGAGCGGAAGGAGCAUAGAUGAGUUCUGCUAUCUGCGUCCUUGAUGGGAACGUUGUUACGAGAUAUUAAGGCGAUUUUCAAUGUUUAAAUG